AGUGAACGCUGGCGGUAGGCCUAACACAUGCAAGUCGAACGGCAGCACAGGAGAGCUUGCUCUCUGGGUGGCGAGUGGCGGACGGGUGAGGAAUACAUCGGAAUCUACUUUUUCGUGGGGGAUAACGUAGGGAAACUUACGCUAAUACCGCAUACGACCUACGGGUGAAAGCAGGGGAUCUUCGGACCUUGCGCGAUUGAAUGAGCCGAUGUCGGAUUAGCUAGUUGGCGGGGUAAAGGCCCACCAAGGCGACGAUCCGUAGCUGGUCUGAGAAGAUGAUCAGGCACACUGGAACUGAGACACGGUCCAGACUCCUACGGGAGGCAGCGGUGGGGAAUAUUGGACAAUGGGCGCAAGCCUGAUCCAGCCAUACCGCGUGAGUGAAGAAGGCCCUCGGGUUGUAAAGCCCUUUUGUUGGGAAAGAAAUCCAGCUGGUUAAUACCCGGUUGGGAUGACGGUACCCAAAGAAUAAGCACCGGCUAACUUCGUGCCAGCCGCCGCCGUAA
rnacentral:rRNA from 1 species